rnacentral:rRNA from 1 species
UUGGAGGGCAAGUCUGGUGCCAGCAGCCGCGGUAAUUCCAGCUCCAAUAGCGUAUAUUAAAGUUGUUGCAGUUAAAAAGCUCGUAGUUGAAUUUCGGGAUUAGUACGUCGGUCGUGCCCUAGGUACGUACUGGUGUUACUGGUUCCUACCUUCUGACGAACCAUCAUGUCAUUAAUUUGGUGUGGUGGGGAAUCAGGACUGUUACUUUGAAAAAAUUAGAGUGUUUAAAGCAGGCUCGCGCUUGAAUACAUUAGCAUGGAAUAAUGAAAUAGGACG